GGGCUUGUAGUCUAGUGGUUAUAAGAACCUUAGUAGCACUUACGGUCUUAGGUUCGACUUCGACUCCUGGUUGGAGCAAAUAUUCCAGUAUUUUCUAACGACUUUGUGCUUUCAGGGGUAGGCGUCGUCUCCGCUGAUCAGGCUUCGGAGAUGCUCAUAGGGGUAGGGUUUGCUUGCGUUCUUAGAGAAGAAGAGAAGAGUGUGAGUAAGAGUGUGAGUGUAUUAUGAGCAUCUGCGUUGUAAUGUCUUCCUUAAAAAAAAAAGAAGAGAAGCCUCCAGCGGUCCACGGUGGACCGGGCUCACGCGGGCGGAGAAACAGGUAGGACAAGCAGAGACGGACAGGCAGAGGCCAAACCGCGUAGGCGAGGAGAGCGCAUCUCGGCCCUUCGCAGCUGCUUCUCACGCCCCACCACUGGCCAUCCGUCUCCGGACACGCCGCGUCUGCCUCAUCUCAUCCCAGCCUCCUCCUCCUCCUCUUUCACGCGCUCGUCUCUCUCUGUCGCCGCCGCCUCCUCCCCGCGCGGCCAUGCGCACGCACGCACAAACAAAACACACACUAGUUUACGACCCGAAAUCGGGCAAGUUUCCACGGACGGCGAGUCCCCCCGCCGCUCGCUUCGAUCCGUUUCCUCUUCUUGCUUGCUGCGUCGACCGUGCACGUGCCGCAGAUCGUUGUUGGUUGGUCCUAUGCUAUGGCUGGAAAAUAGUUUUCUUUUUUUUUCUUUUUUACCAACCAGCAGGUGUAGUCUCCGUCACUUCGCGAGUUC
rnacentral:lncRNA from 1 species